CAGCCGCCGCGGUAAUACGGAGGGCGCGAGCUUUGUCCGGAUUCACUGGGCGUAAAGCGUGCGCAGGCGGCCCGUUAAGACAGGUGUGAAAUCCCUGGGCUCAACCUAGGAAUUGCGCUUGUGACUGGCGGGCUCGAGUACGGUAGAGGGGGGUGGAAUUCCUGGUGUAGCAGUGAAAUGCGUAGAGAUCAGGAGGAACACCGAUGGCGAAGGCAGCCCCCUGGGCCUGUACUGACGCUCAUGCACGAAAGCGUGGGGAGCAAACAGGAUUAGAUACCCUGGUAGUCCACGCCCUAAACGAUGGGUACUAGCCGUUUGGUGCGCGAUAGCGCUGAGUGGCGAAGCUAACGCGUGAAGUACCCCGCCUGGGGAGUACGGCCGCAAGGUUGAAACUUAAAGGAAUUGGCGGG
rnacentral:rRNA from 1 species